rnacentral:rRNA from 1 species
UACGUAGGGUGCAAGCGUUGUCCGGAAUUAUUGGGCGUAAAGAGCUCGUAGGCGGUCUGUCGCGUCGAAUGUGAAAACCCGGGGCUCAACCCCGGGCCUGCAUUCGAUACGGGCAGACUAGAGUUCGGUAGGGGAGUCUGGAAUUCCUGGUGUAGCGGUGAAAUGCGCAGAUAUCAGGAGGAACACCGGUGGCGAAGGCGGGACUCUGGGCCGAUACUGACGCUGAGGAGCGAAAGCGUGGGGAGCAAACGGG